GAUGAACGCUAGCUGGAGGCUUAAUACAUGCAAGUCGAGCGGGAUUGGGUAGCAAUACCCAUGAGAGCGGCGGACGGGUGAGUAACGCGUACACGACCUACCUCUGACAGGGGGGUAGCCCUGGGAAACUGGGAUUAAUACCGCAUAUUAUUCUGAUUAAUAAAGGAUUGGAAUGAAAGUUCAGGCGGUCAGAGAUGGGUGUGCGUCUGAUUAGCUAGUUGGUAGGGUAACGGCCUACCAAGGCGAUGAUCAGUAGGGGGCGUGAGAGCGUGGUCCCCCACACGGGUACUGAGACACGGACCCGACUCCUACGGGAGGCAGCAGUAAGGAAUAUUGGACAAUGGCCGCAAGGCUGAUCCAGCCAUCCAGCGUGCAGGAAGAAGGCCCUAUGGGUUGUAAACUGCUUUUAUCAGGGAAGAAACCUCUGGAUUCACUCCGGAGCUGACGGUACCUGAAGAAUAAGCACCGGCUAACUCCGUG
rnacentral:rRNA from 1 species